rnacentral:snRNA from 1 species
UGGCUUGUGGCAGCCAAGCGUU